GCAUGUGAACUUCGCUGUGAAGCAGGAUUUGUCGAUGGGGAACGAGGUGAUUGGGAUUGUGAAGUCGGAUUUUGGGGGUGAUUAAUCAUUUUGUGGUUGCUGUGGUUCUUUCCAUUGCGAGGGUUAGGAAGUCUAGUAGCUCAGGCUCGAGUCAGGUACUUAAAUUAAAGCUUUGGACGUAUUUUUAAAGGAUUGUUAUUAUUAUUAUGAAAUUUUAUAUGGGAAACUAUUUUUUGAUUUUGUGAAGAAGCUCAUGUGAAUUUUCGAAUCAGGGGCUUGGAUUUGUGCCUGUGGCUUGGUUAGUGACAUGAUUCUCGUCAAUUUAAGUGUAUGACAUUGUCUUCUUUUGUAGAAUUGUAAGUUUUGUGUUAUUAUAAUUUUAGGGGCAAAUAUGUGCAUAAUGUAGCUAGGGGGUCAAUUAGAAAUAUGUGUGCAUAUGUUGGUUCUAUUUUUAUAUAUUUGGUUUAUUUAUUGUCCUUUCUCUAUAUAUAUGUGUGCAUAUGUUGGUGUCUUUCAAUGAGGAGGACGAAAUAAUCAGUCUUUUAAUUUUGCAAAACUAAAGGCGGUUCAAGUUUAAAUCAGUAAAUCAAUAAUAGACUUGGAGUUUGUUCUUGGCAAAUUAUUGUGCAAAGUUCAAGGAGCUUGGUGAACUUAAGCGUGAACUGAAGGCGGGCAUGGUUCGUGAAAAGAAAUGCCUCGUCAUUGAUCCGAAGCUCGCGGGUUCGUUCUCACUAUUGAUUCAGACCUAACUCCUCAAGGUUCUUAGAAAUAAGCCAGAUUAUCAUCGGAUAUCACAAGCAGGGGAUGAGAGGAUAGAACAAUGUAAAAAGAUUGUAAAUAUAUAUCCUUUCGUUUCAAUUGUAAAUAAAUAUGUUAACAAUUUAUGUAUCGCAUCCAUUCAAUACCGAGCUUUGGCUGAUAAUUUAUGUAUCUGUAAAAGUUUGUAAACAAUUUAUGUAUGAAUGUAUUAUUUGAAUAUAAUGGGAUUUGAUAUUGCAAUA